CCUACGGGAGGCAGCAGUGGGGAAUAUUGCGCAAUGGGCGAAAGCCUGACGCAGCGACGCCGCGUGAGGGAUGAAGGUCUUCGGAUCGUAAACCUCUGUCAGCAGGGAAGAACGGUCACUGUGCUAUUCAGCAGUGAAUUGACGGUACCUGCAAAGGAAGCACCGGCUAACUCCGUGCCAGCAGCCGCGGUAAUACGGAGGGUGCGAGCGUUAAUCGGAAUUACUGGGCGUAAAGCGCUCGUAGGCGGUAUGUCAAGUCAAGUGUGAAAUCCCCGCGCUCAACGUGGGAACUGCCUUUGAAACUGGCAAACUUGAGUGUGUGAGAGGAGAGUGGAAUUCCAGGUGUAGGGGUGAAAUCCGUAGAUAUCUGGAGGAACAUCAGUGGCGAAGGCGACUAUCUGGCACAUAACUGACGCUGAGGAGCGAAAGCGUGGGGAGCAAACAGGAUUAGAUACCCGAGUAGUC
rnacentral:rRNA from 1 species